rnacentral:lncRNA from 1 species
AUGGUCCGAACCAAGCCGACUGCUGGGUUCCACUGGUGGGAGCCCCUCCACCUUCACCUCCGCAAACAGCUGGCCGCUAAAGCUGCCAGAAGAGCCCCCUCUGCCAAUGGGGUGAAGAAUACGCGUCACUGCAGGGCCGGACCCUUCGUCAUUACCAGAAACUGACUGAGCUUCUCAUCCAGAAACUGCCUUUCCAGAGGAUGGUGAGGAAUCGCCCAGGAUUUCAAAACGACUUGAGGUUUCAGAGCACAGCCAUUAGUGCUUUUCAGGAGGCUGGUGAAACUUAGCUGGUGGGUUUGUUUGAAGGUGCUAACGUGUGUGCCAUCCAUGCUAAGAGAUUCACCAUUAUGCCCAAAGACAUCCAUCCAGUUGGCUCUCUGGAAGAGGCGAGA